GAUGAACGCUGGCGGCGUGCCUAAUACAUGCAAGUCGAGCGAACGGACGAGAAGCUUGCUUCUCUGAUGUUAGCGGCGGACGGGUGAGUAACACGUGGAUAACCUACCUAUAAGACUGGGAUAACUUCGGGAAACCGGAGCUAAUACCGGAUAAUAUUUUGAACCGCAUGGUUCAAAAGUGAAAGACGGUCUUGCUGUCACUUAUAGAUGGAUCCGCGCUGCAUUAGCUAGUUGGUAAGGUAACGGCUUACCAAGGCAACGAUGCAUAGCCGACCUGAGAGAGUGGCCGACAAACUUGAACUAGAGACCCGGCCCAAACUCCGAGGGGAGGAGACAGAGGGGAUUCUCCGGAAAGGGGGAAAGCCCUAACGGAAAAACGCGGGGGAAGUAAUGAGGUUCUUGGAAUCAAAAAAUUCUUUUAUAAGGGAAAAAAAUAUGUGAAGGUACCGGUGCACACCUCGCCGGUACCAAAACGGAAGCCCACGCAAAACUCCGUG
rnacentral:rRNA from 1 species